rnacentral:tRNA from 1 species
GGCUAGGUAGCUCAGCUGGUUAGAGCGUGGCACUCAUAAUGCCGAGGUCGAGGGUUCGAGUCCCUCCCUAGCCACCA